CUGGCCCUCCUUCCCCCCGCAGCCUGGCGGCCGCUCGAUCGGCACCUCCCCCCGCCGGAAUCGCCCAGCUCCCCCCGGGAGCGCCCGCCGCCUCUGCUCCCCAGACCUCAGCUGUGACCACGCAACGCUCUGCCAGGAAGGCGGACUCCGCGACUCGGGCCAUGGUGGAAAAUGACAGUUAAAGUGCGUUAAAAUUAAGAACUUAUACUUUGAUUAAAAAACAACAAACGGAGUGAAAAAGCAAGCCACACACUGAAAGAAGAUACUUGCAGCAAUUGAUAAAGGAUUAGUAUCCAGGAUAUAUACUUUUAAUGAAUUAGUGUGAAAGAGAGGAACACCCAAAGCAAAGAAUGGACACAGACAUGAAUAGGCACUUCAAAGAGGAACCACUAACGACCAAAAUCAUACUGUGGAACUGAUGUUAGACAAAAAGUGAAUUCCGGUGAUUUUCUUAUUUGAGUUCAAAUUGGGUCAUAAAGCGGCCAAGACAACUUGCAACAUCAGCAAUGCAUUUGGCCCUGGAACUUCUAAGGAAUGUACAGUGUAGUGGUGGUUCAAGAAAUUUUGCAAAGGAGACAAGAGCCUUGAAGAUGAGGAACAUAGAGACUGGCCAUUGGAAGUUGACAACAACCAACUGAGAGCAGUUAUCAAAGCUGAUCUUCUUACAAUGACACGAUAAGUUGCCAAAGAAUUCAGCGUCAACUGUUCUGCAGUCAUUUGGCAUUUGAAGCAAAUUGGAAUGGUGAAAAAGUUCGAUAAGUGGGUGCCUCAUGAGCUAAGCAAAAAUUUAAAAAAUUGUCAUUUUGAAGUGUCGUCUUAUCUUAUUCUACACAAUAAUGAAUCAUUUCUCAAACCGCUUGUGACGUGUGACAAAAAGUGGAAUUCAUAUGACAACCAGUGAUGACUACCUCAGUGGCUGGACCAAGAAGAAGCUCCAAAGCACUUUCCAAAGGCAAACUUGCACCAGAAAAAGGUCAUGGUCAUGGUUUGGUGGUCUGCUGCUGGUCUGAUACACUAUAGCUUUCUGAAUUCUGGCAAAACCGCUACAUCUAAGAAGUAUGCUCAGCACAUGGUUGAGAUGCACCAAAAACUGCAAUGCCUGCAGCUGGCAUUGAUCAACAGAAAGGGCCCAAUUCUCCAUGACAAUGCUGGACUGCACAUCACAACUCUUCCAAAGUUGAAGGAAUUGGACUACAGAGUUUUGCCUCAUCUGCCAUAUUCACCUGACUUCUUGCCAACCAACUACCACUUAUUCGAACAUCUCGACAACUUUUUGCAGGGAAAAUCAUUUCACAACCAGCAGGAUGCAGAAAAUGCUUUCCAAGAGUUCGUCCAAUCCCAAAGCAUGGAUUUUUACACUGCAGGAAUAAACAAAUUUGUUUCUCAUUGGCAAAAAUGUGUUGAUUGUAAUGGUUUCCGUUUUGAUUAAUAAAGAUGUCUUUGAGCCUA